GAAGAUAACUAAAAAGGCAAUACAGGGAGAAAAGAUGAGGUACGAAGGUAAGCUAUCCAAGAAUAUAAAUGAGAAUAGUAAAAGCUUCUUUAGGUAUGUGAA